rnacentral:lncRNA from 1 species
UGUCGCUUUUUGUCAGUCGCCGUAGCGUAGAAUACACAGAACAACGUGCAGUGUUUGUUUGCAGAGCAAUCCCAUGAUGCUCUGCUGCGUGACGUCACAAUCUAUUUUUAGUAACCCAGGAAAGCGCUAUUAAUUGCAUGAAUUCUCGCUACAAAUGUCCUGGAAAGUCUUUUUUUCCGCUUCACGAAAGACGAUGCAAGAUGCAAAGACUGGAUACAGAGGAUCAGGAGAGAAGAUUUGCUGAAGAAGGAUAUAAAGAUGUUUUAUUGUUCAGGCUACUUCCUAUGCAGUGACCAUUUUGAAGAUUCCCAUUUUAUGAAUGUCAGUGAGAAGAAAAAGCUUAUAUGGUCUGCUGUGCCAUUCAUCUUCAAAGUUCCAAAUCCACUACCAUCUGUCACAUCAUCCAGGCUACCUAGGACAAAAGAUCUGAUACCAGAGCAGCAGCAUCCAGCUAGAAGAGAACCAACGUAACAAGUGUGUAUUCCACUUGUGUUUACUACUCCUGUGUAUAAUGUAGUUCCAUGAAAAAAUAAAAUUGUUUCCAGGACCCUCAACAAAGAAAAACUCAGUGGUUGAUGCAGGAGCUCUGGACAGAUCUUUUUGUGAACCAUCGUGUGAAAUCUAUCUUGACAAACAGGCUCAGUUAGGACUGUCUUGAGAAUCUCUUCUCUACACUGUGGGGCAAGUGGGGACACAGGGAUAGUCCCAGUCCCCAAGAACUGUAUGUUGCUCUUCGGGCUUGCAUGAUGAAUGCAAUCCUUGUGCAGAGUCCACAUAACAGUGCACUGAAGACAUGGAAAAAUUCCUAUUGACAGUUUGACAGCAAGGAACAAUUAACCUUCAAGACCGGCACUUGCAACAGUCUUGCAAGACCCAAGUGGAUGAAGACAUGCAUUCAUUGGGUCUGAUAUUAUAAUUCACUUCUUCUAUACCAAACUUUUAUAUGCAGCUGGCAGAAUCGAAUAUCCUCUUUUACUUUGCAGAUUUUGUGGCCUUCUGCCUGAAGGUUUUGCAGAAAUUGUCAAGACAAAUUCACAAGCAAACUUGGUGCACAGCACAAGCAGUUCCUGACCUUGAAACUGUAGGCUUCACUGGAAAGCACUCUCACAAUGCCAAGCACACAGUUGUUUCAUGUGAUUAAAGAGUUGGAAAAAACAUUCACAGACAAUAGGGAACACUUUUUGCACAUGGAUAAAGUGGUAGGAAGAUUAAUGAUGCAGCUUGAAGGCAAGAUGAAACGGUCAUUUAUCUGCUCAUAUGACAGACCUUUCUCUUUGGACAAAAUAGUGAGACAUCUCUUUCGCAACUUACAUCUGAACUUGACGUUGAAAGAAAAUACAAGAUCUUUUGCAAAUCAGUUUGCACAUAAAACUAGAAAAUUGAUGAAAUUGAACCAUCUAUGAAUUAUCUUGACUUAAAGUUAUUGUUGUAAAUGUUUGGCAAACUUUUGUGCCUGUGUACAUUUCUGAGCAACUGUCUCGCUGUCAAUAUAAACUGUGUGCUGUUUGGAUAUCAGUGGAUUUUCUUAUUUUCCAUGUCUUCCUUCUUUUCUUUUCUAUCUGUAUCUUUGUGUUAAUGUUGAAAUAUAAUACUAUUUUGUUUAUGUUUGUUAAUAAAUUUUUGCAUAUGUGUGUAAAUAUAA